GGAAAGGCGCGCGAUACAGGGUGACAGCCCCGUACACAAAAAUGCACAUGCUGUGAGCUCGAUGAGUAGGGCGGGACACGUGGUAUCCUGUCUGAAUAUGGGGGGACCAUCCUCCAAGGCUAAAUACUCCUGACUGACCGAUAGUGAACCAGUACCGUGAGGGAAAGGCGAAAAGAACCCCGGCGAGGGGAGUGAAAAAGAACCUGAAACCGUGUACGUACAAGCAGUGGGAGCACGCUUAGGCGUGUGACUGCGUACCUUUUGUAUAAUGGGUCAGCGACUUAUAUUCUGUAGCAAGGUUAACCGAAUAGGGGAGCCGAAGGGAAACCGAGUCUUAACUGGGCGUUAAGUUGCAGGGUAUAGACCCGAAACCCGGUGAUCUAGCCAUGGGCAGGUUGAAGGUUGGGUAACACUAACUGGAGGACCGAACCGACUAAUGUUGAAAAAUUAGCGGAUGACUUGUGGCUGGGGGUGAAAGGCCAAUCAAACCGGGAGAUAGCUGGUUCUCCCCGAAAGCUAUUUAGGUAGCGCCUCGUGAAUUCAUCUCCGGGGGUAGAGCACUGUUUCGGCAAGGGGGUCAUCCCGACUUACCAACCCGAUGCAAACUGCGAAUACCGGAGAAUGUUAUCACGGGAGACACACGGCGGGUGCUAACGUCCGUCGUGAAGAGGGAAACAACCCAGACCGCCAGCUAAGGUCCCAAAGUCAUGGUUAAGUGGGAAACGAUGUGGGAA
rnacentral:rRNA from 1 species